rnacentral:tRNA from 1 species
AGAAACUUAGGAUAACCAUUUAAACCAAGGGCCUUCAAAGCCCUAAAUAAGAGCGAAACCCUCUUAGUUUCUG